UACGUAGGGGGCGAGCGUUGUCCGAAGUUACUGGGCGUAAAGCGCGCGUAGGCGGGGUGGCAAGUCCGCUGUGAAAGCCCGGAGCUUAACUCCGGAGGGUCGGUGGAUACUGCCACUCUUGAAGGGACUAGGGGGAGAUGGAAUUACCGGUGUAGCGGUGAAAUGCGUAGAGAUCGGUAGGAACACCAGUGGCGAAGGCGGUCUCCUGGGGUUAUCUUGACGCUGAUGCGCGAAAGCUGGGGGAGCGAACGGGAUUAGAUACCCCGGUAGUCCCAGCCCUAAACGAUGGAUACUAGGUGUCGGGGGUAUCGACCCCUCCGGUGCCGCAGCUAACGCAGUAAGUAUCCCGCCUGGGGAGUACGGCCGCAAGGUUGAA
rnacentral:rRNA from 1 species